UAAUACAGAGGUCUCGAGCGUUAGUCGGAAUCACUGGGCUUAAAGCGUGCGUAGGCGGGGAUGCAGGCGUCGUGUGAAAUACCUCGGCUCAACCGAGGAACUGCACGGCGAACCGCAUCUCUUGAGAGAGGUAGGGGCGGUCGGAACGAUAGGUGGAGUGGUGAAAUGCGUUGAUAUCUAUCGGAACGCCGAAGGUGAAGACAGGCCGCUGGGCCUUCUCUGACGCUGAGGCACGAAAGCGUGGGUAGCGAACGGGAUUAGAUACCCCGGUAGUCCACGCCGUAAACGAUGUGCACUAGAUCGAGGGGAUUCUGACAUCAUUCUCGGUCGAAGCAAAAGUAUUGAGUGCACCGCCUGGGGAGUACGGUCGCAAGGCUA
rnacentral:rRNA from 1 species